GCUUAACGCGAAGAACCUUACCAGGCCUUGACAUGCAGAGAACUUUCCAGAGAUGGAUUGGUGCCUUCGGGAACUCUGACACAGGUGCUGCAUGGCUGUCGUCAACUCGUGUCGUGAGAUGUUGGGUUAAGUCCCGUAACGAGCGCAACCCUUGUCCUUAGUUACCAGCACGUUAUGGUGGGCACUCUAAGGAGACUGCCGGUGACAAACCGGAGGAAGGUGGGGACGACGUCAAGUCAUCAUGGCCCUUACGGGUAGGGCUACAAACGUGCUACAAUGGCGGUGACAGUGGGCAGCGAGGCAGCAAUGCCAAGCUAAUCCUAAAAAACCGUCUCAGUUCGGAUUGUCCUCUGCAACUCGAGGGCAUGAAGCUGGAAUCGCUAGUAAUCGUUGAUCAGAAUGCAACGGUGAAUACGUUCCCGGGUCUUGUACACACCG
rnacentral:rRNA from 1 species